CAGUGUUUGCUAUGCGGUCGAAGCAUUGGAGAAGGUUGUCGCUUUUUAUCAGAAUUCUUACAAACAAAUUGAUGUCAACAAUGAAUAUGGAUGGCUCAGGAAUGAAGAAGGCCUUUGGAAAACACGGCUAUGUCGUGUUAUAAUAGGUGCACUACAGCAGUCCAAACCUUCAUUAUCAGAGGCUGAAAAUAAAAAAAUACAGCUAAAAAAUCUCCGGUCUGCUCCCGAUAGAUGUGGGGGUAUGGGACGACAAAA